rnacentral:rRNA from 1 species
GAAUAUUGGACAAUGGGAGGACCCCUGAUCCAGCCAUGCCGCGUGUGUGAGGAAGGCCUUUUGGUUGUAAAGCACUUUAGGCGGGGAGGAGGCUACUCUGGUUAAUACCUAGGGAUAGUGGACGUUACCGGCGGAAUACGCCCCGGCUAACCCUGUGCCACCACCCGCGGUAAUACAGAGGGUGCAAGCGUUAAUCGGAUUUACUGGGCGUAAAGCGCGCGUAGGUGGCCAAUUAAGUCAAAUGUGAAAUCCCCGAGCUUAACUUGGGAAUUGCAUUCGAUACUGGUUGGCUAGAGUAUGGGAGAGGAUGGUAGAAUUCCAGGUGUAGCGGUGAAAUGCGUAGAGAUCUGGAGGAAUACCGAUGGCGAAGGCAGCCAUCUGGCCUAAUACUGACACUGAGGUGCGAAAGCAUGGGGAGCAAAC